UACGGAGGGAGCUAGCGUUGUUCGGAAUUACUGGGCGUAAAGCGCACGUAGGCGGCCAUUCAAGUCAGAGGUGAAAGCCCAGGGCUCAACCUUGGAACUGCCUUUGAAACUAGAUGGCUAGAAUUCUGGAGAGGUCAGUGGAAUUCCGAGUGUAGAGGUGAAAUUCGUAGAUAUUCGGAAGAACACCAGUGGCGAAGGCGACUGACUGGACAGAUAUUGACGCUGAGACGCGAAAGCGUGGGGAGCGAACAGG
rnacentral:rRNA from 1 species